ACCCUUUUGCUGUGAAGAUACACAAUUCUCAAUCCUUUUUUCUGAGCCACAGAAAAUCUUAUCUUUCAGCUGGUGACACUUUUAGGAUAAAGACUUUUUUCCCUUAGGGGAACCUCAGAGCUUAUCUAAUAAGGACUCCCUGGUUCAAACUUCCAAGAUCUGUAUAGGAAAUAGCUAGGGAUUUCCAUUUCCCUCUGUCCUCAUCACUCUUCAACCCUUUAUACCUAAAUAAAUAGACAUCUCGAUUUUUAAUACAGACUUCAAUUAGUUUCAAUGUGUUAGGAGGGGAACUUCAAAGAACAUCAUUUAAAGAAGGAAGACUGAGGGGAAAUUAACUUACCCUUUCAGUCCAGUCAGAACUGACUCCAUUUGUUAACAGCACAACUUAGGGGAAAAAGGAGGAAGGAAGUGGUAUUAUUUUAUAUUUAUUCCCCAAGUAGCUGACAACUUCGGUUCCUUCUCAAUUUCCCCACUAAUACAGGGUACUCCAUGAACUCCAAAGCUACAGUAGACCAGAGAUGAUUCUAGGAUUGUAUGGAGUCCCCCAUCUCUGCUCCAGAGGAAAUCUAAUAGCAACUUCAUUAGCAUACCAAAGGCUCCACCUUCAAGAGAGCCUCCUUUCAAGAAAUGUUUCCAGAGAAUUCUCCUCCUGACUCCUCCUGAGUUCUCCUUCCACAGCCUCCUUCAAGACCUCUCUUCAGAGCAUCAACCCUCCAGGACCUCUCUCCUCUCAGACCACCCUCAGAGCAUCAACCUCUUUCAGAGCAUAAAACCUCCUCCAGUCCUCAGACCUGCUAUCUUUAAGCCAAAAAUCUAAGUUCCCUCCCCUCAGUUCUCACAUCUACCAAUCACUGUCGAUCUCUCCCCUGUGCCAAUGGUGUCUCUAGCUUAACCCAGGACCACCCAGAGGUCUGUCCCCUUUGCACAUGUCUGUUGAAGGUCAUAUUCUCAAAUAAUUAAAUCUUGAUCUUUGCUGCAGCCCUUCCUAAAUCCUGUUACUCUGAGUAGGGUGGAGAUUGUAGUUUCCAAGACCUGGUACUGUCAUUCCAAGUAGCUCUAUUGUAUCAAUUCUAAAAUCAAUCAUGACUCAAAGAACUUCCUGUUCUAUGCUUAAGCAUAGGUCAAAGCCCUUUCCAUUGUUUAGCAAAAGGUUUCCGUCCUAAAGUAGUCUUAAGUAGGGAGGAGAAGGAUCCUCCCAAGCCAAGGAGUUUCAUAUUCCAAUAGAGUUCUUACUAUCAGUA
rnacentral:lncRNA from 1 species